GCGGGCGCGGCGGGGGCCUGAUGGACCGAGGGGGGCCCGGGGGGAUGUUCCGAGGCGGCCGUGGCGGAGACCGAGGGGGAUUCCGAGGUGGCCGGGGCAUGGACCGAGGCGGCUACGGAGGAGGCGGCCGGAGAGGAGGAGGAGGAGGCGGCCCCGGGGGACCCCCGGGACCCCUCAUGGAGCAGAUGGGAGGAGGAGGCAGAGGACGGCGCGGAGGGCCGGGAAAGAUGGACAAGGGCGAACACCGUCAGGAUCGCCGAGACCGGCCCUACUAACUCCGCCUCCCCAGAGCCGCAUUUACUACCAGAUUUAUUUUUUAAACCAGAAAAAAAAAAUGUUUUAAAUUUAUAAUUCCAUAUUUAUAAUGUUGGCCACAACAUUAUGAGUCCUCCUUGUCUGUACUUUAGUAUUUUUCACCGUUUGUGGAGAAACAUUAAAACCAAGUUCAAUGGUAGCGUGAAUUCUUCUUUCCCCCACCCCCCAAAAUAAAACCGGUUGUUUAACGCGCCCCCACCCCCCCACCCCGCCUGUAACGCUGUGAACGGUUGUGACGGUUGUUUUUUUAAAUAAAAUUCCCGCUGUUUGUAACCGC